rnacentral:rRNA from 1 species
GGGUUCUACCGUUGGUCAGGCUAUAGUCUGUACUGGCGUGUGGAAUUUCUACCUUCUGGGGAACUAUCAUGUUAUUAAUUUAGCGUGGUAGGAAACCAGAACCUUUACCUUGAAAAAAUUAGAGUGUUUAAAGCAAGUGAAUAACAGCCUGAAUACAUUAGCAUGGAAUAAUAGAAUAGG